CUUACAUGCAGCUGCUGCUCAAAUCAAGAUCUAUAUAAAUGAUGACUUUUGUUAAACCUGAAUGCUCAUUAAAUAAAAAGAAUGUUAAAUACUUUUUUAAACAUCCCAUUUCAAUUCAAUUUAUGUGUAAAUAUGUGUGAUUUCUGUGUCUCUCUAAAUGUAAUGCUAAACACUCUUUUAGGAACUUUUUGUGCAUGUAAAAAGUAACAGGCCUAAUGGCAAAUUAAAUUUGUUGUACUUUGGUGUUAAAUUUGAAAGCUCUAAUAGUAACACGCAAUUAAGACUGAGUUUGUGGUUUAAUGCAUCUAUUGCUGUUGAAACAGUUGAGAUUUGUGAAGUCGAGAUCACUUACACCGAGACGACAUUCUACAAGAGAAACACACAGAAAACAAAAGUUGAAGAGGAGAGUCAUGUGGAAUAUGCACCAAUCGCACUCAGAAGAUGACCAAACUUCAAGGUUUUUCUAAAUACAAAACCCUUAUUUAAUCAUUUUCAUUGGGAACCUCCUGCAACGACCUCCGACUCUGAGUCUAUGGUUGAGAUUUGGGAUUGUGAGAAUCACCAUGUUACAUCAGGAGAUAGAUAAGACAUACAGCAGGGAUCAGAUUAUGUAAAUCAUGUGGUCCAUUAGAGCAUUUUCAUGUUUGCAGAACAUAGUUGCAAACUAAUCAUCAAAAGGUGACAAAGUGAACCGUGCCGCGGCUCAUUUAUGUAUAUCUGUACACAACUGUGGUUUGAUCCGUUGGGUAGAUAAACAGCUUGUGCAUGAGAAUGAGUCUGCUGCUGGAUGUUUGCAUUUGAUGUCAGAAGGUGUCAAUAAAGCAAGCGUGUGUCUGAGGCGUCAAUAACCCGUCUGUUCGAGUGUGUGACUGAGGUGUCAACAGUGCGUCAGUGCGAGUGUGUCUGAGGUGUCAGUCUGUGUGGACAGAGAGUCGUUGCAAGGAUUUUUUGCAUUUUACUCACAUGAAACUGUUGAUUUCUGCUCUACAGUGAAGCCAUUUUACUACAUAAUACUGAACUCAUUAGUUUGAUGUUUGACAAAAAGGUCUCUCAAGUCAAACAGUGAUAUUACUGCAAAAAAAAAAAAAAAAAGGAAAAUAUAUAUGGCAUGCUGAUCUUAUGAAGUGAUCCAGCAGUGCUACACUCUCAGGCACACCAUUGUACCUUAUUUACUUAUUAGUACCUAAAUGGUUGAGAAAGUCCCUUCAGUGACAUCCUGAGAGUGUAGUUUCAGUAGAUAUUUCUAAGCAGAACUAUUCUUGAUGCCUGUUUUUUUCUUUGUAAUAAAGGUUAUAUCAUGCACUGGCACACUGGGUUAUUUUAAGAAUAAAUGCAAUUAUUUACAA